ACACAACUUAAACAUGGAUGUACUUGCUUUCAAACUAAAAAAGGAAGCGCUUCCAAGUUUCGGGGAUGG
rnacentral:pre_miRNA from 8 species